AGAACGAACGCUGGCGGCAGGCCUCAAACAUGCAAGUCUAGGGGGUGUAGCAAUACAUCACCGGCGGACGGGUGCGUAACGCGUGGGAAUGUACCUAUUGGUUCGGAACAACUGAGGGAAACUUCAGCUAAAUCCGGAUACGCCCUUACGGGGAAAGAUUUAUUGCCGAAGGAACGGCCCGCGUCCGAUUAGCUAGUUGGUGAGGUAAUGGCUCACCAAGGCGACGAUCGGUAGCUGGUCUGAGAGGAUGACCAGCAUCACUGGGACUGAGACACGGCCCAGACUCCUACGGGAGGCAGCAGUGGGGAAUAUUGGACAAUGGGCGCAAGCCUGAUCCAGCCAUGCCGCGUGGAUGAUGAAGGCCUUAGGGUUGUAAAGUCCUUUAACGGGGAGAGUAAUGACGGUACCGUAGAACUAGCCCGGCUAACUUCGUGCCAGCAGCCGC
rnacentral:rRNA from 1 species